GGCUCAUCCCCACUCCUUAACCCAUCCACGCUGAGGAGGGGGCUUGGGGUGGGGGCUUCCAGACUGGCAGGGAGAGGGCAGAGGCAGUCGCCACAGUCUGUGCAGGGGAGUGGGGGCAGGCGCGUUGGGGUGGCUCUCCCGCUGGACGGGCGGAGCUCCCCGGGGGUGGGGGCCGGCGGCCAGCCCUGCAGUGGUUCCUUGGAGGUCACUGCUGCCCUGUCCUGCCAUGGCCGCAUCUGGAAUCACUGUGAAGGGCAGGGUACUUCCCGGUUUCCACUGGGGUCCCCUGCUGAGCCUGGCGGAACAGGAGCAGGCAAGGGUGUGGCAGGUGAGCAGGUUGAGCUGACUUCUGCCAGGGCACCCAGGAGCCUGCAGUGGCCUCCCCCAGCUCUCGGUGCCCUGGGGAACCUUCAUGCUUUCCUGGUGUAGGGCUGGAUGUUCUGCGCACAGAAGCAGCCUGGAGCAAGCAGCUGGGUGGCUGUGUCCCUGUGCUGGCCACUCUGUCCCUCACACUCCAGACGUGGCCCCUGACCCCUGUGCCUGCUGGCUGGUGCAGUAGGACCGUGGUGUGACAGCAGGGGAGGGCAAGGUCAGGGCCUGUACCUCAGGGGGUUUGAGGGGUUCACUGUGUCCUCCAUUUGUCGUGUAACAGAUACCAACAGAACCUCGAAAGAGUUGGGCAAGGGAUGGGGGUCUGGGCAGGGUAGAUUUGGGGCUUAAAUUGGCCUGGCGGUCCUGAGCCAGAUUGAACCCCUGGGCCAGUCAGUGCCCCUCCCCCACAAGCACACCCUGGCCAGAUGAGCUGAUAGAAGCAAGCGGCAUCGCACCUGGUGAACCCAGGUCUCCAGGGAGGCUGUCAGGAUGGCACCCCUCCAAGCUUCAGAUGGGGGUGUGCCUGGACAUAGAAUCUGGGGGGAGACAGGAGCUGUGCACCCACUACAACCCCUGGGAACUGGACGACUGCAGCGGAUGAGCGGUCCCCACCCUAACAGGCUGGCAGGACAGUGGAGAGCUGGUGGAGUUGGAGGGGCCUGCCGGUUGUGGCUGAGGGAGCUUUGGGAGGGUUCCAGAGAGGGAGGGAGGGAGUGUGUGUGUGUCUGAAAAAACUGUGCUAGUACCAACCAGAGGGCAAGGCCCAUUCCCUCCCUUGGCAGCCCCCAGCCCCACCCUGUGGCCAUGGCAGUGGCAGUAACAGCAGAGAAGGCUAGGAAAGGGCACCUCACCCUGGUUUUCGAGGGGAAGCUCCCCCCAAGGGGCAGAGCAGUUUGGAGUCCUCGUGUGGGGGAGGGGCCGCCCUUGCCAUGGGGCAGGCUGAUAGCAGAGAAGACAAGUCUGCCCAGAGUCUGGGUGGGCGGGACAGAAACAUGAGGAGGCAAGUGUCCGAAAUGGCCUCCUGCCUACGUACCCCAGAGACACCCGGAUGGACGCACUCACACAUAGGUGUGCCCUAAGGCACCCCCGUCAUAGCCAUGCCCACAGGCUCCAGGAGGCACCCCCACGCACACCCCCACGUGCACAGCCAGGUGCUGGUGGCUGGCUGUCAGCCUCCCAUGCAUCUUCCCGUUGGAGACAGAGGCAGCCUCACCCUGGCGCCCCCAGGCCUCCAGCCAGCACACCUGUGGGCAGCCGGCUUUGGAAUUGCGAGUGUGUGCCCGGAGCCCGAGGGCCCUUUGUGACCCCGCUGUCUCCCAGGCCGUCCUGGGUCCUGCCCUGCCCCUUUCCGUCACCAGGGGCACCCUGCCGCACCGCCAGUCUAUAUUUUUGCUCCGAGUUGUGCGGGGCCUCCGUGGCCACCGUCUCCCUGCCCCCCUCCUGCUCUCUCAUCCCGGCCUCUUGCCGAUCUUGUUGCCAGGAGACGAGAGAAGUCAGGACCCACCCUACUGCUCCAGCGGUAGCCCAGGGGCCCCAGGGAGACACCAAUGAACAGGCCCCGGAGGCAGGCCCGCCCUCCCUGGGCUGCGGCCUCGACCGCUCCCCGCGCUCGGAGUUUCGCACGGAGAUAAGCAGCGCUCGCCGCCCGGGCGUGGUCACCCCGCCUUUCCCGCGGAGCCCGCGCCCCCCAGCCGACCCACGGGGGACGCCCCCUCUCCGGGUCCUCGCCUUCGAAUUCCUCGGGGCCGUCCCUCUGCGGUCCUUGAGCCUCCCUCGGAGCCGAGUCGGGGGCUCCCAAGGAGGGCGGGCUGCUGGGCCGGGGCGGAGCGCCGCGUGCCGCGAGGGCCGGAGGGGAGGGAGCUCCCGGCGGGCGCCGCACCUGAGAGCGCCGUCUCCCCGGGGGAGGGCCGGGUCACAGUGGGUGGGGGGCUUCCCGGCGCGCCGCUGUGCAGCCAUUCACGCUUUGGAAGGGACCGGGCCCCUCCCCGGCUCGUGCAUAUUUGGGCGCCCCGCAGGUGCCGGCGGGCUGGGCCGGGUGCGCCUUCCCGCUCGUGGGGAGCCCCACCCCUUCGGUGUGUCCCCACGGAUCCCUGCGCCCCUCGGGCCCCGCUGGGCCGUCGGCUGUAGCCGGCCCUGCUCGGAGGCGGGGCGGGUCAGAUGACCUUCCUCGGCCGUUUGGCCUGGAACCGAUGUCCCGGGGUCCAAGUCCCAGACUCGGGGCGGGGCGCGAGGGGCGGGCCUCAAAGGGGCGGGGACCCGGGGUCCCUGAAAGGCGCGCCCUCGGUGGGAGCGACCCAGUCCUCGCUCACGUCUGCUUCCGCGCGGCUCUCUGCAAGGACCCGGCGCCGCCAUGCCCAAGUGCCCCAAGUGCGACAAGGAGGUGUACUUCGAGCAGUGUCCCACAGGGGGCUUCUCUGUGCCUGUGUAGCUGAGCGGGUGACCUCCCUGGGGAAGGACUGGCAUCGGCCCUGCCUGAAGUGUGAGAAGUGUGGAAAGACGUUGACCUCAGGGGGCCACUCUGAG